rnacentral:lncRNA from 1 species
AAUUAAUUUUAGAGUGCAUAGCACACAUCAAUUAAACAGACUGCGGGGUUCAUAUUUCCUACACAGUCGUGACUCAUCCUUGGAAGAUCUGACCCAUCAAGGAUAAUGAUUUCAUCUUGAUAUUGGUGACUAAUAUUUCUGUUUGUAUGUCCAGUGUCUGCUACAGAGCCUGACAUAGAGUAAGUAAAUGCUCAAACAUAUGGAUAAAUGAAUCAAUUAAAAACCUCAUAAAACCUUUACCCUAUUAAUCUUCCUCCUAUAGCAGGGGUUGGUAAACUAUAGCCUGUGAGACAAAUCUGGCCAACACCAGUUCUUGCACAGGACACCAGCUAAAAAUGUUUUCCCCCCACAUUUUAAAACAGCUAAAAAAAUUAGAAGAUUUUAUGGAACAUGAAAAUUGUAUGAAAUUCAAAUUUCAGUGUCCCGAAUACAAUUUUAUUGGGACACAGCUAUGUCCACUCUUUUACCUAUUGCCUAUGGCUACUUUCAUGCCACAGAGGCAGAGUUGAAUGAUGCUAAGUUACAGGCUUUGUGAUGGAUACUGGGCAACAGAUGUGGUAAGAAGGGGAGCAGCCCAAGAUGAUAAUUUCCUCCAAAACACCAGAGGUUCCUGUCUCAAGCAGAGAAAUCAUAAUACUGCAACCCAUGCUAGUUUGCAAAGGGCAAGUCGCUAUGGCCAAAAAUGAUUGAUUCAGAGGAAGAGGAAGGGAAGGAAGAAGA